CAAAGGCUUGGUCCUGACUUUACUGUCAGCUUUAGCUAUAUUUACACAUGCAAGUAUCCGCACCCCCGUGAGAAUGCCCACCCCCGCUUUCCCCGCCCGAAAGCAAGGAGCUGGUAUCAGGCACACUCUCUGUAGCCCACGACACCUAGCUUUGCCACACCCCCAAGGGAACUCAGCAGUGAUAAACAUUAAGCCAUGAGCGAAAGCUUGACUUAGUUAAAGCUAAGAGGGCCGGUAAAACUCGUGCCAGCAACCGCGGUUAUACGAGAGGCCCAAGUUGACAGGAAUCGGCGUAAAGGGUGGUUAGGGGUUAUUACAAAAUAAAGCCGAACAUUCUCAGCGCUGUUAUACGCCCCCGAGAACUUGAAGCCCCACCACGAAAGUGGCUUUACCCCGCCCCGAACCCACGAAAGCCAGGGCACAAACUGGGAUUAGAUACCCCACUAUGCCUGGCCGUAAACAUUGAUAAGAUAUUACACGCAUUAUCCGCCCGGGAACUACGAGCACUAGCUUAAAACCCCAAGGACUUGGCGGUGCUUCAGACCCCCCUAGAGGAGCCUGUUUCUAGAACCGAUAAUCCCCGUUCAACCUCACCCUUCCCUGUAAAUCCUGCCUAUAUACCGCCGUCGUCAGCCUACCCUGUGAAGGGUCUAAAGUGGGCUAAACUGGUAUUACCCAAAAUGUCAGGUCGAGGUGUAGCAUAUGGAAGGGGAAGCAAUGGGCUACAUUCGCUGACUCAGCGAAUCACGAAAGACAUACUGAAAAGCAUGUCCGAAGGUGGAUUUAGCAGUAAGGGGGGAAUAGAGCGCCMCUCUGAAGUUGGCUCUGAAGCGUGCACACAUCGCCCGUCACUCUCCCCGAAUUAGUCUACACCCGUAACUUAACAACACGGACGCCGCCGAGGGGAGGCAAGUCGUAACAUGGUAAGUGUACCGGAAGGUGCACUUGGAUAAAAUAU
rnacentral:ncRNA from 1 species